CUAGCGAGCCAACCUCCCACCCGUGUUUACUGUACCUUAGUUGCUUCGGCGGGCCCGCCAUUCAUGGCCGCCGGGGGCUCUCAGCCCCGGGCCCGCGCCCGCCGGAGACACCACGAACUCUGUCUGAUCUAGUGAAGUCUGAGUUGAUUGUAUCGCAAUCAGUUAAAACUUUCAACAAUGGAUCUCUUGGUUCCGGCAUCGAUGAAGAACGCAGCGAAAUGCGAUAACUAGUGUGAAUUGCAGAAUUCCGUGAAUCAUCGAGUCUUUGAACGCACAUUGCGCCCCCUGGUAUUCCGGGGGGCAUGCCUGUCCGAGCGUCAUUGCUGCCCAUCAAGCACGGCUUGUGUGUUGGGUCGUCGUCCCCUCUCCGGGGGGGACGGGCCCCAAAGGCAGCGGCGGCACCGCGUCCGAUCCUCGAGCGUAUGGGGCUUUGUCACCCGCUCUGUAGGCCCGGCCGGCGCUUGCCGAACGCAAAUCAAUCUUUUCCAGGUUGACCUCGGAUCAGGUAGGGAUACCCGCUGAACUUAAGCAUAUCAAUAAGCGGAGGAAAAGAAACCAACCGGGAUUGCCUCAGUAACGGCGAGUGAAGCGGCAAGAGCUCAAAUUUGAAAGCUGGCUCCUUCGGGGUCCGCAUUGUAAUUUGCAGAGGAUGCUUCGGGUGCGGCCCCUGUCUAAGUGCCCUGGAACGGGCCGUCAGAGAGGGUGAGAAUCCCGUCUGGGAUGGGGUGUCCGCGCCCGUGUGAAGCUCCUUCGACGAGUCGAGUUGUUUGGGAAUGCAGCUCUAAAUGGGUGGUAAAUUUCAUCUAAAGCUAAAUACUGGCCGGAGACCGAUAGCGCACAAGUAGAGUGAUCGAAAGAUGAAAAGCACUUUGAAAAGAGAGUUAAAAAGCACGUGAAAUUGUUGAAAGGGAAGCGCUUGCGACCAGACUCGCCUCCAGGGUUCAGCCGGCAUUCGUGCCGGUGUACUUCCCUGGGGGCGGGCCAGCGUCGGUUUGGGCGGCCGGUCAAAGGCUCCCGGAAUGUAGUGCCCUCCGGGGCACCUUAUAGCCGGGAGUGCAAUGCGGCCAGCCUGGACCGAGGAACGCGCU
rnacentral:rRNA from 1 species